AUUGAACGCUGGCGGCAUGCCUUACACAUGCAAGUCGAACGGUAACAGGUCUUCGGAUGCUGACGAGUGGCGAACGGGUGAGUAAUACAUCGGAACGUGCCCGAGAGUGGGGGAUAACGAAGCGAAAGCUUUGCUAAUACCGCAUACGAUCUCAGGAUGAAAGCAGGGGACCGCAAGGCCUUGCGCUCACGGAGCGGCCGAUGGCAGAUUAGGUAGUUGGUGGGAUAAAAGCUUACCAAGCCGACGAUCUGUAGCUGGUCUGAGAGGACGACCAGCCACACUGGGACUGAGACACGGCCCAGACUCGUACGGGAGGCAGCAGUGGGGAAUUUUGGGCAAUGGGCGCAAGCCUGACCCAGCCAUGCCGCGUGCAGGAUGAAGGCCUUCGGGUUGUAAACUGCUUUUGUACGGAACGAAAAGACUCUGGUUAAUACCUGGGGUUCAUUACGGCACCGUAAGAAUAAGCACCGGCUAACUACGUGCCAGCAGCCGCCGUAA
rnacentral:rRNA from 1 species